rnacentral:rRNA from 1 species
AGAGUUUGAUCCUGGCUCAGAUUGAACGCUUGCGGCAUGCCUUACACAUGCAAGUCGAACGGUAACGCGGGGCAACCUGGCGACGAGUGGCGAACGGGUGAGUAAUACAUCGGAACGUGCCCAGUGGUGGGGGAUAGCCCGGCGAAAGCCGGAUUAAUACCGCAUACGACCUACGGGUGAAAGCAGGGGAUCGCAAGACCUUGCGCCAUUGGAGCGGCCGAUGUCAGAUUAGGUAGUUGGUGGGGUAAAGGCCUACCAAGCCGACGAUCUGUAGCUGGUCUGAGAGGACGACCAGCCACACUGGGACUGAGACACGGCCCAGACUCCUACGGGAGGCAGCAGUGGGGAAUUUUGGACAAUGGGCGCAAGCCUGAUCCAGCCAUGCCGCGUGCGGGAAGAAGGCCUUCGGGUUGUAAACCGCUUUUGUCAGGGAAGAAACGCUCCGGGCUAAUACCUCGGGGUAAUGACGGUACCUGAAGAAUAAGCACCGGCUAACUACGUGCCAGCAGCCGCGGUAAUACGUAGGGUGCAAGCGUUAAUCGGAAUUACUGGGCGUAAAGCGUGCGCAGGCGGUCUUGCAAGACAGAUGUGAAAUCCCCGGGCUUAACCUGGGAACUGCAUUUGUGACUGCAAGGCUGGAGUGCGGCAGAGGGGGAUGGAGUUCCGCGUGUAGCAGUGAAAUGCGUAGAUAUGCGGAGGAACACCGAUGGCGAAGGCAAUCCCCUGGGCCUGCACUGACGCUCAUGCACGAGAGCGUGGGGAGCAAACAGGAUUAGAUACCCUGGUAGUCCACGCCCUAAACGAUGUCAACUGGUUGUUGGGAAGGUUCCUUCUCAGUAACGUAGCUAACGCGUGAAGUUGACCGCCUGGGGAGUACGGCCGCAAGGUUGAAACCCAAAGGAAUUGACGGGGACCCGCACAAGCGGUGGAUGAUGUGGUUUAAUUCGAAGCAACGCGAAAAACCUUACCUACCCUUGACAUGUCUGGAAUUUUGCAGAGAUGUGAAGGUGCUCGAAAGAGAACCAGAACACAGGUGCUGCAUGGCCGUCGUCAGCUCGUGUCGUGGGAUGUUGGGUUAAGUCCCGCAACGAGCGCAACCCUUGUCAUUAGUUGCUACGAAAGGGCACUCUAAUGAGACUGCCGGUGACAAACCGGAGGAAGGUGGGGAUGACGUCAGGUCAUCAUGGCCCUUAUGGGUAGGGCUACACACGUCAUACAAUGGCCGGUACAGAGGGUUGCCAACCCGCGAGGGGGAGCCAAUCCCAGAAAACCGGUCGUAGUCCGGAUCGCAGUCUGCAACUCGACUGCGUGAAGUCGGAAUCGCUAGUAAUCGCGGAUCAGCUUGCCGCGGUGAAUACGUUCCCGGGUCUUGUACACACC